rnacentral:miRNA from 1 species
UAGCAUGACCCAUCUUCCUGGUGUGCCUGGGACUGAGGGGGUCGCUGGGGCUGUCAGUGUUAAAACAGGAA